rnacentral:rRNA from 1 species
CGUGCCCAGUAGUGGGGGAUAGCCCGGCGAAAGCCGGAUUAAUACCGCAUACGACCUACGGGUGAAAGCGGGGGACCGCAAGGCCUCGCGCUAUUGGAGCGGCCGAUGUCAGAUUAGGUUGUUGGUGGGGUAAAGGCCUACCAAGCCGACGAUCUGUAGCUGGUCUGAGAGGACGACCAGCCACACUGGGACUGAGACACGGCCCAGACUCCUACGGGAGGCAGCAGUGGGGAAUUUUGGACAAUGGGGGCAACCCUGAUCCAGCCAUGCCGCGUGCGGGAAGAAGGCCUUCGGGUUGUAAACCGCUUUUGUCAGGGAAGAAAAGCUCCGGGCUAAUACCUCGGGGUAAUGACGGUACCUGAAGAAUAAGCACCGGCUAACUACGUGCCAGCAGCCGCGGUAAUACGUAGGGUGCAAGCG